GAUUAACGCUGGCGGCGUGCAUAACACAUGCAAGUCGAACGAUGAAGAUUAUUAGACUUCUUCGGAAUGAAAAUAAUUGGAUUAGUGGCGGACGGGUGAGUAACGCGUGAGUAACCUGCCUUACACAAGGGGAUAGCCGUUGGAAACGACGAAUAAUACCCUAUGAAACUAUCACUUCGCAUGAAGCGAUAGUCAAAGUGUUAGCGGUGUAAGAUGGACUUGCGUCUGAUUAGCUAGUUGGUGAGAAAAAAGCCCACCAAGGCAACGAUCAGUAGCCGGCUUGAGAGAGUGUACGGCCACAUUGGGACUGAGACACGGCCCAGACUCCUACGGGAGGCAGCAGUGGGGAAUUUUGCACAAUGGGGGAAACCCUGAUGCAGCGACGCCGCGUGAUUUAGAAGGCCUUCGGGUUGUAAAAAUCUUUUGUAUAGGAAGAAAAUGACAGUACUAUACGAAUAAGGUCCGGCUAAUUACGU
rnacentral:rRNA from 1 species